rnacentral:rRNA from 2 species
CGCUGGCGGCAGGCUUAACACAUGCAAGUCGAACGCUCGCAGCAAUGCGGGUGGGAGUGGCAGACGGGUGAGUAACGCGUGGGAACCUACCUGGUGUACGGAACAACCAAGGGAAACUCGGCUAAUACCGUAUAGAGCCUUCGGGGGGAAAGAUUUAUCGCCAUCAGGAUGGGGGCCCGCGUCCGAUUAGCUAGUUGGUGAGGUAACGGCCCACCAAGGCGACGAUCGGUAGCUGGUCUGAGAGGAUGAUCAGCCACACUGGGACUGAGACACGGCCCAGACUCCUACGGGAGGCAGCAGUGGGGAAUAUUGGACAAUGGGCGAAAGCCUGAUCCAGCCAUGCCGCGUGAGUGAUGAAGGCCUUAGGGUUGUAAAGCUCUUUCGGCGGGGAAGAUAAUGACGGUACCCGCAGAAGAAGCCCCGGCUAACUUCGUGCCAGCAGCCGCGGUAAUACGAAGGGGGCUAGCGUUGUUCGGAAUCACUGGGCGUAAAGCGCGCGUAGGCGGGUCGUUAAGUCGGGGGUGAAAUCCCGAGGCUCAACCUCGGAACUGCCUUCGAUACUGGCGACCUUGAGUCCGGGAGAGGUGAGUGGAACUCCUAGUGUAGAGGUGAAAUUCGUAGAUAUUAGGAAGAACACCAGUGGCGAAGGCGGCUCACUGGCCCGGUACUGACGCUGAUGUGCGAAAGCGUGGGGAGCAAACAGGAUUA